CACUAAGAAGCUUAUAGGAUCAAGCGGCAGCCUUUUAAGCUGUUGAUAGGUGACUUCCAACCACCCUUAGUGA
rnacentral:tRNA from 1 species